UACGGGGGGGGCUAGCGUUAUUCGGAAUCAUUGGGCGUAAAGGGCGCGUAGGCGGCGCGGUAAGUCAAAGGUGAAAUCCCUCGGCUCAACCAAGGAAGUGCAUCCGAAACUGCUGAGCUUGAGUACGAAAGAGGAUCGCGGAAUUCCCGGUGUAGAGGUGAAAUUCGUAGAUAUCGGGAGGAACACCAGUGGCGAAGGCGGCGAUCUGGGUCGAUACUGACGCUGAGGUGCGAAAGCGUGGGGAGCAAACAGG
rnacentral:rRNA from 1 species